GGGGCUGAUUCUGGAUUCGACGGGAUUUGCGAAGCCCAAGGUGCAUGCCGAGGGGCGGUUGGCCUCGUAAAAAGCCGCAAAAAAUAGUCGCAAACGACGAAAACUACGCUUUAGCAGCUUAAUAACCUGCUUAAAGCCCUCUCUCCCUAGCCUCCGCUCUUAGGACGGGGAUCAAGAGAGGUCAAACCCAAAAGAGAUCGCGUGGAAGCCCUGCCUGGGGUUGAAGCGUUAAAACUUAAUCAGGCUAGUUUGUUAGUGGCGUGUCCGUCCGCAGCUGGCAAGCGAAUGUAAAGACUGACUAAGCAUGUAGUACCGAGGAUGUAGGAAUUUCGGACGCGGGUUCAACUCCCGCCAGCUCCACCA
rnacentral:tmRNA from 1 species